GACCAUGGAAAAUAAAGAAUUGGGAUCAGUUUCUCGAAGUACUGGUCUCCCCAUGUCGCUCUCUCUCUCACUCUGGCUGAGUCUCCAUCUGGAGCGUGGAACCCGCCAUGCUUACUAAUUUUGCCUGGGCUUCUAAGAUCCAACCAGGGAGGCCUCAGUGUCUCCUUUCCUUCGGGAGAACGGAAGGACGCCUGCGGCCUAUUCUCCCACAGUGCUUUCCAUCAGCCGAACCCAACUGCAAGUAAGAGGACAAGAGACCCGUGAUUCAGUCCAUACAGGUUGACCUCCCUGGGGCAUGGGAGAGGAUGGAGGAGAAUAGAGAAUGGAUCUGGAAAAGAAAACAGAAAACAUUCAGCACACGUGUUAUCUCAGUUUGGACAAUUAGCUCUUCUUGCUCUAGAACUUGAAAUUGAAAACAGAGAGACAGAGAAAUUGUCAUUAAAAAUGAAUACCGUUAAUGGUGCAUGACAGAAUGUCCACCAGUUUCUGCUGCCGAAGAAUCUUGACCUUUUCUGCUUCCAUUUCUUCUACAAAUUGGUUGCUCAGUGAUCCAGGAUGUUUCCAAUAUGUCUCUUACUUCUGCCUAAUACGAUGGAAGUCAUUUACUGUCACUUAUAACUGAAAGGUCCCUAAUGAAGCAAUGCCCAAAUUUUUAGUAUUGGCAUUUAGAUCACUGCAUUUAUGGCUACAUUCCCAACUGUACUCAAGAAAAGGACUUAUGUAGAAGAAGAGGAAGCGGAGGAGAAAGGGGAGGAAAGAGAGGAGAUCGGGGAAAGAAGGAGAAGGGAAGGAGGAGGAAGGGUGGGAAAGGGAAUAGAAAGAGAACAAGAACACAAAUGAUUAUAAAUACUUGGAAAGUAGGAACUUCUUCAAUAUGAUCCUGCUGAGAACCACUGUCCCAUCACCCACAUUCUCAGAUGGCUCUUUUGGAGAAAAACUUAAUUAUUGGGUUCUAAUUUUUUAGAGUUAGCUAUUUUGCUUAAUUGAAUUUGCUAGUUAACUGUCCAUAACCUUUGAAUUUUAAUCUAAGCCAUAUUACCUGAAAUCUUAUAUAGAUCUGCAGCAGUUGCUUGAGAUCCCUAAAGGGCAGAUUGGAGAGAAACAACUCAGUUGGAUUUCUUGCCUCUCACUGAGAGAAAUCAACCAGGCAAUCAUUUAGUUUGCAAACAUUUGUCAAUUACCUUGUUGUAUGUGCGUGGAGGGUUCCAAUCAGGACAUAUAAAGAUGAAAUGACAAUGUCUUUUCAUGGGAGGUGACUUACGGCCUUAGCUUUUAGUACCCUCUGCCUGGAGAUAUCUAUUUUAUACUUAGUGUUUUAAUAAAGAGCUCUUU
ensembl:lncRNA